AAGAUCAAACGGUUUCAUGAAAUCUUUUAUUUCCUUGGUUCCUUGGCGCAUUCAAUCAAGAAAACAAAUUAAAAUUGUUAAAAUAUUCAGUAAACUUGAACUAAAAUCACAACCAAUGCAGUAAUUCAUCAAUGAGCUAAAUAUCACAAAACCAAAAAAUAAUCAACUAAAACACCGAGUUCAAAUUCCAUGAGCUAAUUACAAAAAAUUAAUUUUAGUUUAAAAUACAAAUAAAAACAAGCAAAUCAGCUAAGUCAAAGCUAAACUAAGCUGCCGAUCAUAGUUAUAUACUAGAAUACAGAAGAAUUAAAGGUCACCUAUCUAAACAAAUAGUAACCCACCGAUUAUCCGAUUUGACGCGAAGAACAACUUAUUAACCUCAAAAAUCCAACAGGUCCAAGGGUAUAACGUAUAAGCUUCUACUCAUACUUGAUCUAGAACAAAAAGAUCAAAAGCCGAUACAGGCUGUAGUGUAAGAUAAAAAUAUUCUAGAUAUAGAGAGCUUCUUGUAGCUUCUAUGCCCAUCAUCGAUGAGACCAAAGAGAGGAAACGGAGAAAGAGAGAAACUUGGAGAGGGAAAGAGAGAGAAGAGGAAGAGAGAGAGAGAGAGAGAGAGAGAGAGAGAGGAGAGCGACAAGAAGUGAAAAACAGAGUAACGUCUCGAAAUUGAAAUUGAAAUGAAUUUGGUUGAGGGAGAAGAAAGAAGGGGAUCGAAUACGGUGAGUUUUGAUGAUUUCCAAGGACUUGGAUUAAGUUAAUCCAAGCUGGUUUGGUGAGUCCCGUUUUAUAUUACUUUAUUCAAACCCUAGUUGAUUUUAAAUUUAGGGUGAUUAUUUCUAAGUUUCUAAGUUAGGGUGUCAGGAAGACGAAUAGUAGUUUAAAGUGUUAUUGUAAUAAGUGGUAAACCUCAGGGUAUUUUUAUUCGUUAAGUUUUAUUUUAUGGAAGAGUUAUAAAAUAAAAAGAUCAAAUCGGUACUUG
rnacentral:lncRNA from 1 species